GUUAGUUCGAAAGGGCGAUUCGCGGUAAAAUGGCGCGCACAUCAGAUUACACUAGAUACCGAAGAGUUUUCCAUGAAUGCGUCGAUAAGCAUUCUAUAUCCUAAAACUUGGCGAGGUAUUUGUUCAAGAAACGGCAGUAAGAAUAAGAUGCAAAGGAAGUUUAGCACCACUCGAAAUAUUAUUAUUAUUUCUUCCUUCAUACAGGGAGUUCAAGAGUGAAAAAUAUUUUAAAGAAGUAUUUUAAAGAUCUAGAACUCUGUAUGACAGAAACAAUAUCAGCAUCAGUCGUAUACCUAUAUAUCGUAGAUAUUGUCACCACGCGAAAUGUAUUUCGCAUAUCACAGUGACGCAACAUCUGUAAAUGACGCACAUGUUCGUCUUUCGCGGUUUGCGGCGUUGGCUAGGAAUUGUCAGAAUUGUGCAAAUAUUUUG